rnacentral:rRNA from 1 species
UACGAAGGGGGCUAGCGUUGCUCGGAAUGACUGGGCGUAAAGGGCGCGUAGGCGGUUUGGACAGUCAGAUGUGAAAUUCCUGGGCUCAACCUGGGGGCUGCAUUUGAUACGUGUAGACUUGAGUGGGGAAGAGGGUCGUGGAAUUCCCAGUGUAGAGGUGAAAUUCGUAGAUAUUGGGAAGAACACCGGUGGCGAAGGCGGCGACCUGGUCCUUGACUGACGCUGAGGCGCGAAAGCGUGGGGAGCAAACAGG